rnacentral:rRNA from 1 species
UAUGUGAUCGUCUCUCGCAUAUCAAUAAGCGGAGGAAAAGAAACUAACAAGGAUUCCCCUAGUAACGGCGAGUGAAGCGGGAAGAGCUCAAAUUUGAAAUCUUAAAGGGUUUCCCUUUACGAAUUGUAGUUUAAAGAAGUGUUUUCUGUUGAGGUUUUGGUAAAAGUUCUUUGGAAUAGGACAUCAUAGAGGGUGAGAAUCCCGUAUUUGACCUUUACUUUCAACUUUGUGAUACACUUUCAAAGAGUCGGAUUGUUUGGGAAUGCAGUCCAAAAUGGGUGGUAAAUUUCAUCUAAAGCUAAAUAUUGGCGAGAGACCGAUAGCGAACAAGUACCGUGAGGGAAAGAUGAAAAGAACUUUGAAAAGAGAGUUAAACAGUACGUGAAAUUGUCAAAAGGGAAGCGUUUGACACCAGUGUUGUUUUUCUGAAAAUCAAUUAAAGAACUGUGUAUGCUAAGUUGUUUAGACUUUAUCAGCUAUCUGUUUAGUUUUGAGCUUUUCUUUAAUGCACUUUUCAGUUAACAAGUCAACAUCAAUUUCUUUUGCUGUAAAAAAGCUUGAGGAAGGUGACUUGAGAUUCGUCUUAAGUGUUUAUAGCCUCUUGCCUAUGCAGUCGGAGAGAUUGAGGUCUGCAGCGUAGAUCCUUCGGGGCUAAAUGCAUUUGUGCUAAGUUAUAGCAUUUUAUAGACAACUUGUUGACUAUGAUUUGUCUUGUAGCUUACUCGCUUAUGUUAUUUUACCUACGCUUAGGAUGUUGAUAUGCAUGACUGAUAU